UGGGCCUGCUUGGCAGCCUCCAGGCCUCUGGGAGGCCCCAAGCCCAAGCCUGGCCCACUGUCUGCUGCAGGAUGCCCAGCAGGGGGAGGGCCCAUCUGGACCUCGCCCCACCACCCCAGUUUGGUUCAGGUUUCCUUUUGAGGGCAAGAUGCCUUCCCCGCCCUGGAGAGAGUGACCACCUGCCAGAUGGUCUCAUCCCAGGGGCUGAGCUUGGAGAGGGCUGUGAGCCUGGCUGCCAACACCAGGAGGAAGGAAGAUGGACGCUGCAGAGCUGAGUGCUGCUCCCAGUUGGGUGGGUAAUGCAGGCCCUGGCCCAUUUGAUGAACGGACACAGCUGCCACAGUUAUGCUCCCCCACCAAGGUUGCUCCUCUCCAGCUGAGAGCCCUCAGCCCCUCAGCCAUAAUUCAUGUGACUAAAUGUUGAUGUCCUCCAAAAGGUCCUCCCCCUAAAGCACAGUACUAGAACCAAGCAUAAGAUUUCGGUUAUUCAUGCAGGUCAGUGGAAGGUAGCACUAUCACCUCCCUGGAUUGAGGACUUAGAUCUCUA